rnacentral:rRNA from 1 species
UUCUUUAGGAGAACAUCUAAAGUAGGCCCUGCUCAAUGAUUUAUUAAAUAGCGGCAGUAUUGUCCAAAGGUAGCAUAAUAAUUUGUUUAUUAAUUGUAAACUGGUAUGAAGGGGUUAAUAGUCAUUAACUUUAUUAAAAUUAUGAAUUGAAUUUGGAAUCUUAUUGAGAAUAAUGAGAUGAAUCUUAGGGACAAGAAGACCCUAUAAAGCUUUAUGCUUAGGAUACUUUUAGAAUUAUUCAGGGUAUUUCUUUGGGGCAAAGUUUUAUGAUUGAAUUAUAGAAGAAAAAUGAAAAGGAAACUUUAUUGAAGAUCCAAUAGUAUUGAGAAGGUGAAUAAGUUACUUUAGGGAUAACAGUAUAAUUUUUGUGGAAGAGUACAUAUUGACCAUGAAGAUUGUAACCUCGAUGUUGAAUUAGCUUAAGAUAGGGGUGUAGAAUCUUCUAGGAC